GUUCCCCUGUAACAGACAUCUCCUCCUCCUCUAGAUGACUCUGUAGUGAAGGAAGGGGAGGUUCCCCCCUGUAACAGACAUCUCCUCCUCCUCUAGAUGACUCUGUAGUGAAGGAAGGGGAGGUUCCUCCCUGUAACAGACAUCUCCUCCUCCUCUAGAUGACUCUGUAGUGAAGGAAGGGGAGGUUCCUCCCUGUAACAGACAUCUCCUCCUCCUCUAGAUGACUCUGUAGUGAAGGAAGGGGAGGUUCCCCCCUGUAACAGACAUCUCCUCCUCCUCUAGAUGACUCUGUAGCGAAGGAAGGGGAGGUUCCCCACUGUAACAGACAUCUCCUCCUCCUCUAGAUGACUCUGUAGUGAAGGAAGGGGAGGUUCCCCCCUGUAACAGACAUCUCCUCCUCCUCUAGAUGACUCUGUAGUGAAGGAAGGGGGGGGGUUCCCCCCUUAACAGACAUCUCCUCCUCCUCUAGAUGACUCUGUAGUGAAGGAAGGGGAGGUUCCCCCCUGUAACAGACAUCUCCUCCUCUAGAUGACUCUGUAGUGAAGGAAGGGGAGGUUCCCCCCUGUAACAGACAUCUCCUCCUCCUCUAGAUGACUCUGUAGUGAAGGAAGGGGAGGUUCCCCCUUGUAACAGACAUCUCCUCCUCCUCUAGAUGACUCUGUAGUGAAGGAAGGGGAGGUUCCCCCCUGUAACAGACAUCUCCUCCUCCUCUAGAUGACUCUGUAGUGAAGGAAGGGGAGGUUCCCCCCUGUAACAGACAUCUCCUCCUCCUCUAGAUGACUCUGUAGUGAAGGAAGGGGAGGUUCCCCCCUGUAACAGACAUCUCCUCCUCCUCUAGAUGACUCUGUAGUGAAGGAAGGGGAGGUUCCCCCUGUAACAGACAUCUCCUCCUCCUCUAGAUGACUCUGUAGUGAAGGAAGGGGAGGUUCCCCCCUGUAACAGACAUCUCCUCCUCCUCUAGAUGACUCUGUAGUGAAGGAAGGGGGGGGGGACACACAGCCAACAGAUAGUUCAAUAUUCAAUACUGUUCAAUUGGUGACCCCUGGCAUUUCUAUGAAUUCUAAAAGAACCUUAUCCGAUAGAUUUUAAUCGUCUUAUGAUCACUAUCAAGGGUUUAUUAAAUGAAGUUGAUGCUGCUGCUAUUUAUGACUUUCCUUUGCCUUAUUAGAGACAGAGAGAGAGACAGAGAGAGACAGAGAGAGAGACAGAGAGAGAGACAGAGAGAGAGACAGAGAGAGAGACAGAGAGAGAGACAGAGAGAGACAGAGAGAGACAGAGAGAGAGACAGAGAGAGACAGAGAGAGACAGAGAGAGACAGAGAGAGACAGAGAGAGAGACAGAGAGAGAGACAGAGAGAGAGACAGAGAGAGAGACAGAGAGAGAGACAGAGAGAGAGACAGAGAGAGAGACAGAGAGAGAGACAGAGAGAGAGAGACAGAGAGAGAGAGAGAGACAGAGAGAGACAGAGAGAGAGAGACAGAGAGAGAGAGACAGAGAGAGACAGAGAGAGAGACAGAGAGAGAGACAGAGAGAGAGAGAGAGAGAGAGACAGACAGAGAGAGAGAGACAGAGAGAGACAGAGAGAGAGACAGAGAGAGAGAGACAGAGAGAGACAGAGAGAGAGACAGAGAGAGAGAGACAGAGAGAGACAGAGAGAGACAGAGAGAGACAGAGAGAGACAGAUAUCUAUGGUAAACACACAGUAAAGUAAUGACAUGCAGAACAGAUGCAUUCCCAGCAUGUGAAUAGUGUUUCAGGGGAUUAGUUUGAGCAAAGCGAGGCACAGAAUCUCUCAUCUUGAUCAAAUAAUAGUUGAAAAUAACUUGAAUACAUAGUUAUUUGAUAUGCAAGGUGAUCUCAAAGGCCGUGAAGUCUGCACAUAGUAAACUAAUUCCAAAAACCGUAAACACAGUCAACAUAUAUUAAACUAAUUCCCAAAGACCGUAAACACAGUCAACAUAUAUUAAACUAAUUCCCAAAGACCGUAAACACAGUCUGCACAUAGUAAACUAAUUCCCAAAGACCGUAAACACAGUCUGCACAUAGUAAACUAAUUCCCAAAGACCGUAAACACAGGCAACAUAUAGUAAACUAAUUCCCAAAGACUGUAAACUAAUUCCAAAGAUCGUAAACACAGUCUGCACAUAGUAAACUAAUUCCCAUAUUCUACUACUCUUCAGCACUUGGUUCUCUUAGCUUAGCACCAAUGGUUCCAUGUUCUGUCAGAACCCUCUGAACUGUUAGCUUAGCACCAAUGGUUCCAUGUUCUGUCAGAACCCUCUGAACUGUUAGCUUAGCACCAAUGGUUCCAUGUUCUGUUAGAACCCUCUGAACUGUUAGCUUAGCACCAAUGGUUCCAUGUUCUGUUAGAACCCUCUGAACUGUCACAGAACCAUAAAACGUAGAUAUGGAAUGAUCUUAGGUUGUCUGGGACUUGAUGUUCCAUGGCCGGCAUGCUGUCCUGUCCUGGGCAACGGGAGGGGCAGUCAUGACACGGUUGGGACUUGAUGUUCCAUGGCCGGCAUGCUGUCCUGUCCUGGGCAACGGGUGGGGCAGUCAUGACACGGUUGGGACUUGAUGUUCCAUGGCCGGCAUGCUGUCCUGUCCUGGGCAACGGGAGGGGCAGUCAUGACACGGUUGGGACUUGAUGUUCCAUGGCCGGCAUGCUGUCCUGGGCAACAGGAGGGGCAGUCAUGACACGGUUGGGACUUGAUGUUCCAUGGCCGGCAUGCUGUCCUGUCCUGGGCAACGGGUGGGGCAGUCAUGACACGGUUGGGACUUGAUGUUCCAUGGCCGGCAUGCUGUCCUGUCCUGGGCAACGGGAGGGGCAGUCAUGACACGGUUGGGACUUGAUGUUCCAUGGCCGGCAUGCUGUCCUGUCCUGGGCAACGGGUGGGGCAGUCAUGACACGGUUGGGACUUGAUUGAGCUUUCUGUUCUAUCAUCUUUUAAAAGCACGUAGGCAUUACUACCAUCGCUUCCCAAAUGGCACCCGAGCCAUUACAUAGUGCACAUUUGGGAUGCGGUCUACAUUUCUUUCAAAUGAAGGUUUGAAGGGGGUAACUACAUGAAGAACAUUAUUAAUAUAUAUAUUAUGUAUAAAUUUUCUAAGACCGACCACAAAUAAACGGUCCUUCACUGAGACGGAGAUGGCUGAAAACAGAAUGGGUUCUAUAAUAGAACUCUAAUGGUUCUGAACCAUAGGGUGGGUUCUCUAAUAGAACUCUAAUGGUUCUGAAUCAUAGGGUGGGUUCUAUAAUAUUACUCUAAUGGUUCUGAAUCAUAGGGUGGGUUCUCUAAUAGAACUCUAAUGGUUCUGAACCAAGGGUGGGUUCUAUAAUAUUACUCUAAUGGUUCUGAACCAUAGGGUGGGUUCUCUAAUAGAACUCUAAUGGUUCUGAAUCAUAGGGUGGGUUCUAUAAUAUUACUCUAAUGGUUCUGAACCAUAGGGUGGGUUCUCUAUUACUCUAAUGGUUCUAAACCAUAGGGUGGGUUCUGUAAGAGAACUCUAGUGGUUCUAGGGUCCUUCUGACUCUGUGCUCCUGUCUGGCUUCAUAGUAACUGCUUGUCAGAGCUUCUGUCAAGUCCUUUCCCAUCUGUUCCAUCUGUAUUGCAUGUCAAUAAAACACAUUUUGUCUGGA